rnacentral:lncRNA from 1 species
GUAGAUUGAGUCGAUGGUUUGAAAGCCGGGGAUUAAUCCCAUGGCAGAGUAAGUUGUUUGAUUGAGCCCACAUCUCCAACUCAUUUAGCCCCCGUUUGCCUUACAAAUUUUCAAAACUUAUUCUUCUUCAAAUUCAUUUUCAACCACACAUUUCAUAGGGACGACAACUUGUCCACAAUUUUUAUUAAAUUUUCAACUGAUAUUUCAUUAGUUUCAUCAAAAUCUACUAAAUCUCUAAUUUUUAGCUACACCAAAAAGGGCCUUAGUUCGGUCGCAUUGGUAAGUUUGACUAAUUUUGAUAUUUAUGAUGAAUUUGCAGGUGUGAGCUCUCUAACAUUAGGAGGGCAGAAUAAGAACCAGUUGGUGGUGACUGGAGAAGGGAUGGACAUAACCAAGUUGUGUGUGAGACUAAGGAACAAGAUUGGAUACACACAAAUUGUCAGUGUAUCGGAGGUUAAAUGAAACCAACAUAAGAAAAAUGUCAUCCUAGGAAUCCCAGAGCUUGUUUGCACAAAUUAUUACGUUGUUUUGUAUGUGUCUAUUGUUGAACUCACGUCUAUCAAAUGAAAUAAUUAGUGUAUUAGACUGAACAGACCGGCAUAAAUAUAUACUUCUUAAUCCGUGUCAUUACUUUUUAGAUUGCUCUUUAAUUUGAUAGGUAAGUUUCAUAAAAUUAUUCAAUAAAUCAACUCUAUCACUAUCCAUGUGGCAUGUAUAAAUAAAAGAAAGCAACCAAGGACCAAGGAUAAAAUGUUUGGUUUCGAAUC